ACCUUUUGUAUAAUGGGUCAGCGACUUAUAUUCUGUAGCAAGGUUAACCGAAUAGGGGAGCCGAAGGGAAACCGAGUCUUAACUGGGCGUUAAGUUGCAGGGUAUAGACCCGAAACCCGGUGAUCUAGCCAUGGGCAGGUUGAAGGUUGGGUAACACUAACUGGAGGACCGAACCGACUAAUGUUGAAAAAUUAGCGGAUGACUUGUGGCUGGGGGUGAAAGGCCAAUCAAACCGGGAGAUAGCUGGUUCUCCCCGAAAGCUAUUUAGGUAGCGCCUCGUGAAUUCAUCUCCGGGGGUAGAGCACUGUUUCGGCAAGGGGGUCAUCCCGACUUACCAACCCGAUGCAAACUGCGAAUACCGGAGAAUGUUAUCACGGGAGACACACGGCGGGUGCUAACGUCCGUCGUGAAGAGGGAAACAACCCAGACCGCCAGCUAAGGUCCCA
rnacentral:rRNA from 2 species